rnacentral:rRNA from 1 species
UACAGAGGUCCCAAGCGUUGUUCAGAUUCAUUGGGCGUAAAGGGUGCGUAGGUGGCGCCGUAAGUCAGGUGUGAAAUUUCGGAGCUUAACUCCGAAACUGCAUUUGAUACUGCGGUGCUUGAGGACUGGAGAGGAGACUGGAAUUUACGGUGUAGCAGUGAAAUGCGUAGAGAUCGUAAGGAAGACCAGUGGCGAAGGCGGGUCUCUGGACAGUUCCUGACACUGAGGCACGAAGGCCAGGGGAGCAAACGGG